rnacentral:sRNA from 1 species
UUCGUUCCCAUUGCUAGUAAUGUUGUUGUUAUUGUUUGUUUUAUCAAUUAACCACUUAAAUUUAACUAAACGGCUACCACAUAUGAAUGAAUGGAACACACGUUAAGGUUGGAAUCUUAUCUGUUUGUUCCCAAUUUAGUCCCCUGCUAUUUUCCGCAAAGAAAUUUCAAAAAAAAAGAAUCAAGUAGCGGCAAAUCCGUUUUGUGGUCAAGAAAAAAACAACCAAUUUAAACAAAUUAAGAUAAAAUUGUCUUAGGCAAUUUUGGAUGGGUGACCAAGGUCAUGACAAUAGUUUAUCGGAGUUAAGGCAUGACCUAGGAUAAUGAAGCCCGUAAAAGUUUGAUUUUCAAAAUUUUCGAGUAAAAAUAAACAUUUGAUAGAAUAUUUAUUGCCAAGCUAUGGGCAUCGUGAUUCCGCUAAGGCGGAUAAUACUAUCAGUUUGCUUGUCAAAUGGGUUGACAAAUCUCCACCCAUUUAAUAAUUUGCGAGGGUAAGAAAAGAAGUAUAAACCUACUUCCAAGAUUACAACUCAAAGAAAGGAAGGGCGAAAUUCUGAAGGACUCAUAUGUGGUUUCUUGGUCAAACUUUUACGCAACUGAAACCUAUUCGCCUGUGUAUAAUGAUUUCCACAUUUCCUUUGCAACUGUACCUUGCACCACUACCUUUGCUGCAAUGUAGUGUACGGUUCGACUCUGAAAUUCUUCCUGAUUCGGCUGGCCCCGUUUUUGAUACCCCCUUUUAGUGUAGGACUUCCAAAAACCUAUGUAGUCACUCGAUUUAUAAGAUUAUGAAGUUUUGUAAUAAUUGAGUAUAAAAUCUGUUCUCUUCUGUAAAGAAUGUACCAAAUAGUACCGAGAAUAAAAAUACAUCGUAUUCAUCA